CUGAAUCACAUGUUGAAGUGCAAAAUAAAUUUUUUCCUGAAGCUUCUGGACCUUCCUUGGUUCUAUCAGCCAGGCUCGGUCUGACAAAGGGAAAGAAUGGGUAAGGAGCGGACAGAAUGUAAGCUUUGUUGUAUUUCACCUGCAUACAUAUAAGUGCUGAGUACCAGACCCAUUCCAAAUUAGUUCCAAAUUGCUUCUGAAGACAUGUCAUUAUUUUUCUAAAACAAAUAUUUUAUAAGAAAUUCUAUGAUGACAGUAACAUUGACAUACAGAAUCAGGGUGGAGGUAAAGACACAAUGGUUCAGAGAAACUCCAUGUGUCUUAUUGUCUGUGACAAUUUACAUCUCUUUUUCUCUGGACAUACGCUUAGAUUUUCUUUCAAAGUUUAUGUUAAUGAUUUGUGAAGAAAUGAAUUAUAGAAGUGAAGAAAACCUAUCAUAAAGGAGUGUUUUUGGAAUUCAGAAUCUCCCUUCCCUUUUAUAAGCUAAGUUAUAAUUUAUAUAGCAUCAACAUGAAUCAAUUAAAAAAUUUAAUCCUGAGUCCUCUUUUUCUAUAUUGAAUUUAAUAGAUAGGAUAAUCCCUCCUUUCCUUUAGCCUUUCCCACUCUCCUUUCUUUUUUCUUUCCUCCCUCCCUCCCUCUCUUUGUUCCCUGCUUCCGUCCUUCCUUUCUUCCUAGACGCUUUAUACCAUGGUGACAAAAUUCAGCCCAGUGUCAACGCCUAAGGUUGAAACUUCAGUGAAGAGACACCUAGAGUCUCCAAAUUCUGAACAAAUACUCAUGGAAAAGAACUUGGACAUGAUCCUUCUGAACACAGUUCAGGUCAGGAACCGGAGUGAAACCAGCUCCCUCAUCGUGGACUCAAAGGCUUAGAACUAAUCGUCACCUGAACUAUAAUCAAUGGGAGCAAUCAAAUGCAAUGAGAAAACGAACUUAUGGAGACUGCUUUUUGGUAC